rnacentral:lncRNA from 1 species
CGUUUUAGUAUAGUAUGGUGCUGAAAAUUCUGGGCAGGUUUGUCCUGUUCCAGGCUCUGUUUUACAGCUUUAAACUUGGAUUUUCUUUCUGAAAAUUUUACUGUAGGUUGGAAUAAUAUUUAGGAGUGUCUCAUAAAAAUUUCGUAUUAAAAAGAUAAAUUUUCAAUUUAUUAAAAAUCAUAGACCGAGGGCUGUUUGAACUAUUUGUUCUAUUUUUCUUUCUUUGCUAGUGCAUAGUAUGAGGUUAUACUUGACUAAUUGCAUAUGAUUGAUUAUUACAUUGAUUGGCUCGGUUAACCUUGUAUAUCUAAUUAAAAGUGUUUUGCGUAUAACAAGUUAGCAAUCCUGCUAAAAGAUUUUAUUAUAUGUUUACUACAAGUCAAGACAGAUUUUCUUAUGUGUUUACUGCAAGUCAAGGGAUCUUUUUAUAUUAAUAAUUCAUGUGUUAGCAAUAGUAUUGGUUGGUUGUUGGCAUUGCAAACAGGUGGAUAAGCUUAUAAACAGAGGAGAUGCUGCCGAAUUUUCGUUAGAAAUUAUAUGGAUUUAAUGCCUAUAAAAAGGGUUGUUUGUACAACUAUGUGCUAUGUGUUUAUGUGACUGUGGUAUGUAUAUGCGAAGGGUAGAUAUAUAUAUAGGUCUUAAUGCAAUUCAGGGUUAGUCAAUAUGUCUAAUCCGACGACUGAAAUACUAUUUUAUCAUCGUAUAGAAUUGAAGACAUUGACCGAGGCAUUAAUCGAGAAGUGAUUGAAAGGGGUAUUCAGAAAUAGCCAAGCAGAAUGUUACAAGUUGAAGUAGGACGGAGAUUUGUUAUAGAUAAAAGUGUGUCAGAAGCUGGCAGAAAGGAAUGAUUAUGCGGUAUAUAGUGUUACUAGGAAUCUGAGCUAAACUUUGGAGUUAAGGCAAGUACUUCUACCUUCUCUCGCAAUUUAGAAGCAAGUAUUUCUACCCUACUCCUCUAGUACCUAUAGAUACUAAAACCUUCUUUAUAUCAUGAUUCAAAUUAUUUGCAAUUACUUUCUUGUGAAGCAUAUCUAGUACUUUUAAACUUUUUGGUUGAACGGAUAACACUUUUGGUAUCAACUCUACACUAUGAUAUGCAUAAAGAAAUUGUUUUAACAAAAUGUUAUUCUGGCUCUUGAAUUACAUGAUGGAACUGCAGAUUGUUUUAAAAAUUAAACUAUUGGGUUGUUUUUGCGUAAGAGGCUCGGGCACCGGCCCAGCGUGAAAGGUGGCUCCUUAAGCCCGGAUUACCGGAAUUCGUAAUAUUUGUCAACCUUGCUGAAUAAGCUUGGUUUAUGGACUAUAGCAUGACUGAUCAUCUGUUAUAGCCAGGUGUCCAAUUAUUUUUAAAGCCCAAUAAAAUUGUGAAUAGUUUAAAAAGAAGUUACCCUGCCUUCAAGAGAUAUUUGCUUAUACAUUCAUUUCUGUAGUUUUAAAUAUUUUCACUUCUUUAUUAUGGCAUUGCUGUACAACAAAUAUCAAUUUCAUUUUGUUAUUCUUGCUGAGCAUUAUUGCUCAUUCUUGCUAUUCCUUCUAACCCUUUUCAGCUAGGAAUAAAGAUGAUUCACUUAAGACUAGGCAAGGAUUGCAAGUGGUUGAGUUUCAAGCAGAUGGACAGGUAGAGUAUUUAGGACGAUGUCAUUAAGACUAGAUGCAGUUGGAGUUCUGCAAUUCAAUUCAGUUGGAAAUUAGAUUUGUUUAUUUGGUUAUCAGCUACUCUUCUUAUCGAGGUUUAGCUGAUAAUGUUGUUUAAUUUGUAAAUAAGAUUUUAUAGUUUUAGUUUCUGAUUUCAAUGCUGUAGCCUGUAUGCGAUCCUGUUUUCAGGGGGUGAAAUUGAUUUUGAAUUAAAGACCUUCUUUUAAAAAAAAAAAAUAUCCAGGUUUAGAAAUACUUGUUUUUACUUUCUUCCAAAAAUACAGGUUUUAAAUUGUUUUUCUUUUAAUGGCUCAAAACUACAGGUUUUAAAUUAUUUUUAUUUACACGUGGCACCAGAUCUAGACCCCCGGAUUUGAGGGAUGUCACACCCAGUCACAAAAUCCACGUAAUUCGUUAAAAGCCACGUAAAUGCCACGUAAAUGCCACAUAAAAUCCAGCUCAAUGGUUACUUUAAAUAUGUAAUCUCAUAUUUUCAGCCUUGAUUUCUGCUUCCUAUUCUAGAAAUGCCAAGUCAUAAAAGCCAGCUCAUUGAGUACUUUAAAUUAUCAUCACAUAAAUUAUUUAUGUCAAGUAUACACAAUCCCAUAAAUUAAGCAAUCAUUCCUGCUUUCGUUUUUAAUUGUCUUAACUAAUAUGUAAAGCAUUGAUUUUUUUCAAAAUCAAAUCAAUUCCUAUCAGAUGAGUCUCCUCCGCAAGCUGUGUUGGAGACAAUUAUGUAUGAUUCUUUCAAGCUCUAAUGAAAUCUUUUGUUGCUCAAAAAAAAAAAAAAAAAUUCCUAUCAUCUAUUUUAAAAAUUCAAAUUCAAAUUCAUCCUCUAAUCUUUUUUAUUUUUCUCCUCCUCUCUAAGUAUGGUUUCAAGCUCUAUGUUACUUAAAUAAAAAGUAUAACUUGCACGGGAAGUUUACUAGUUAUAACAGACUUUACAUUAUUAAUUUUAAUUCUUUUAAUUAAUUUCAUAUGUAUGUGUAUAUAUCCAUAUAUUUGCGUAUCUAUAAUUGUAAUUAAUUACCUUCAAUUUCUCUCUGAUUAAAUAUGGGAAGACUUCCAAGCACUCUGAAGACUUUAUUGUAUGAUGUUGCAUGAAAAAUUAAAAAUUCAAAAUUGAAUUAUCUCUUAAAUUGCUAAUCUCCUUUUCUUAAAAUAUUUAAAAUUAAAAUAUAUUAAAAAAAAUUCAGACAAUGAUUUUCUUAUCUUUACACAUUUAAUUUAUUUCACAUCUACAUGUAUAUUUUCGUACAUUUACCUAUUUUUAAUUGUAAUCGUUAGCUUCUUAUUUUUUUCGAAUAAAAUUUGUAAAGACUUCCUAAGCACUUAUAAUAUUUUUUGUAUGAUAUUGCAUCAAAAAUUCAAUAGAUUGGAAAGGUGAUUACCUCUUAAACUGCUAAUCAUCUUUUUUUAAAAUAUUUAAAAAUGAAGUAUAGUUAAAAUAUUUUCAUGAGAUUAUAUAAAAAAGAAUAAGAUGUUAAUGCACGAUUAAAUAUGUUAUACUAUAAAAAAUUAUAAUUUGACUAUUGUUUUGUUCAAGUUAUUUAUGUGUUAUUGUUUUCUUCAUUAUUUUAUUUUUUUCAGUUUUAAUAGAGUAAUUCUUAUAUAUAAAAGAAUAUGAGAUGUGUCAUUAUAUAUGUUUUACUCUCUAAUUUUUCGUUUUAAAAUAAAUAUGAACUUAGUUCAAAAUUAUAUACCAGAGCAGUAACAAAGCGUCGUAAUGGUAAUAUGUUGUGAAGCAACAUUUAAUUGUUUUGAAUUUUUUAAAAUUUCUUUGAAAAAUAAUAUCUUUUGAGGAUCGGAAAUUGGAUCUGAGAGCACAUUCAAUUAUAUUUCACGAUCAUCAUAUCAAGAUCAUAAUUUCAAAAUAGCAUUAAUCACGCAUCUUUGAAUCGUGCCACUAAUCACGACGUCAGUUCAGAUUUAAGCUUUGCUUAUUAUUUGCGUAUGAUAUUCUUAUCAGAUCAAAGCAAAACAUUUGAAUUUCACAUUCGAAACCAUUCUUUCUUCCACGCCUCUAAUCGUGACGGGUAUGUUUUCUUCGUUGGCUUUCGAACUGAUUUGUGUCCUCGGUCGGAUUUUGCGGCAGUACUACUGAUCUUGGCUUUCUUUACACAUUAAUUUCUCUAUCUACGGACUUUGCUUUGCGCUUAUUUAUUGUAUUGUAUAAUAGAAUUCUACUUAUCUUACACAAAUCGCGUUAAUCCGUGUAUGCAUCAGGUAGUAUCCGUCAAAGCCUCUUG